rnacentral:lncRNA from 1 species
CUUGGGAAUAGCACCUUUAAAAAGCCAACAUGAACGGAGGAUUGGAAAGAGCGAAAGAGUAAUACAUCAGAAGUAGAUGUUUGCAGUGUGCUGAGUUUGACCAAAAUCAAAGCCGAAGCUGUCUAUUGGACGGGUAAAGUUUCUGCUACAAGGCGUUUUGGAAACCACAGCAGGAUCCUGCUAGGAUCACGAUGGGAUGCACAUCAGCCGAGAUCGUCCACCUGGAGAGCUGUGACUCCAUGGCACCAACUGUGGCAGGCCCACUGGGUGAGCACCAGAGGAAAUGAAGAAGUGGAAUUCUCUCAUGGGACUUGUACAUUGAGUGCAAAUAAACAGAAGACAGUCAGUGCCAACACAUCUGAUGGUGGCACCUAAUGGGAAGUCCACAGGACCCCCUGCAGAGAUUCCUAGAGCUGCCCUAAUCCCUCCCUUUCCCGAGCAC